AACGAACGCUGGCGGCAGGCUUAACACAUGCAAGUCGAGCGCCCCGCAAGGGGAGCGGCAGACGGGUGAGUAACGCGUGGGAAUCUACCCAUCUCUACGGAAUAACGCAUGGAAACGUGUGCUAAUACCGUAUACGUCCUUCGGGAGAAAGAUUUAUCGGAGAUGGAUGAGCCCGCGUGGGAUUAGCUAGUUGGUGGGGUAAAGGCCUACCAAGGCGACGAUCCAUAGCUGGUCUGAGAGGAUGAUCGGCCACACUGGGACUGAGACACGGCCCAGACUCCUACGGGAGGCAGCAGUGGGGAAUAUUGGACAAUGGGCGCAAGCCUGAUCCAGCCAUGCCGCGUGAGUGAUGAAGGCCCUAGGGUUGUAAAGCUCUUUCACCGGUGAAGAUAAUGACGGUAACCGGAGAAGAAGCCCCGGCUAACUUCGUGCCAGCCGCCGCGGUAACAC
rnacentral:rRNA from 1 species